rnacentral:rRNA from 1 species
UGGGGAAUAUUGCACAAUGGGGGAAACCCUGAUGCAGCGACGCCGCGUGAACGAAGAAGGUAUUCGUAUCGUAAAGUUCUGUCCUAUGGGAAGAUAAUGACAGUACCAUAGAAGAAAGCUCCGGCUAAAUACGUGCCAGCAGCCGCGGUAAUACGUAUGGAGCGAGCGUUGUCCGGAAUUAUUGGGCGUAAAGGGUACGCAGGCGGUUUAAUAAGUCGAAUGUUAAAGAUCGGGGCUCAACCCCGCAAAGCAUUGGAAACUGAUAAACUUGAGUAGUGGAGAGGAAAGUGGAAUUCCUAGUGUAGUGGUGAAAUACGUAGAUAUUAGGAGGAAUACCAGUAGCGAAGGCGACUUUCUGGACACAAACUGACGCUGAGGUACGAAAGCGUGUGGAGCAAACAGG